rnacentral:sRNA from 1 species
UGCUACUGGCUGAAAUCUACACUGAGGCUGGUGUACCUCCUGGGCUCUUCAAUGUGGUGCAGGGAGGGGCUGCCACAGGCCAGUUUCUGUGUCAGCAUCCCGAUGUGGCCAAAGUCUCCUUCACUGGAAGUGUGCCCACUGGCAUGAAGAUCAUGGAGAUGUCAGCUAAAGGAAUCAAACCUGUUACCUUGGAACUUGGAGGCAAAUCUCCACUCAUCAUCUUCUCAGACUGUGAUAUGAACAAUGCUGUGAAGGGGGCGCUGAUGGCCAACUUCCUCACACAAGGCCAGGUUUGCUGUAAUGGCACAAGAGUAUUUGUGCAGAAAGAAAUUCUUGAUAAAUUUACAGAGGAAGUGGUGAAACAGACCCAAAGGAUUAAAAUUGGAGAUCCCCUUCUGGAAGAUACAAGGAUGGGUCCACUCAUCAACCGACCACACCUGGAGCGAGUCCUUGGGUUUGUCAAAGUGGCAAAGGAGCAGGGUGCUAAAGUGUUAUGUGGUGGAGAUAUAUAUGUACCUGAAGAUCCCAAAUUAAAGGAUGGAUAUUACAUGAGACCUUGUGUAUUAAGUAUGUCCUCUUUUUGUUUGCUUUUAGAUGAUUUGAAUUAAAUACUGAAUAGAUAGAGACGAAUAUUUAUAAAAUAUGUACAUGGUAUAAAGCAAGGGCUGGCAAAUUAUGUGGUCCUACUACCCAAGUUUAAGAAGUAGAACUGCUCCAUUAUCUUUGAAGACUUCUGUGUGCCCCUCCUUUAGGGCACCCAUAUGUAUUAGUUUAUCCAGGACCACAACUAUUGUUCUGGAAGCAAGGAGCUCAAAAAUA